rnacentral:rRNA from 1 species
UACAGAGGGUGCAAGCGUUAAUCGGAAUUACUGGGCGUAAAGCGUGCGUAGACGGUUACAUAAGUCGGGUGUGAAAGCCCCGGGCUCAACCUGGGAAUUGCAUUCGAGACUGCGUAGCUAGGGUGCGGAAGAGGGAAGCGGAAUUUCCGGUGUAGCGGUGGAAUGCGUAGAUAUCGGAAGGAACACCAGUGGCGAAAGCGGCUUCCUGGUCCAGCACCGACGUUCAGGCACGAAAGCGUGGGGAGCAAACAGG